rnacentral:siRNA from 1 species
AAACUACUCAAUUACCCCAUCCUC